UGUGACUACAGUAGAGCCCUACACCAAGAAAGAGCUGUCCAAACAUGAUUUACUACACAUCAUUUACCACUUCCGCCUGGAAUCAAACCUAUGGGGAUUUCCGCUACAAAGAGAUCCUCUGCUCUACUUUUACCCUGACGUUCCCAAAGACCCAAUCCUUGAAAAACACAAAUCCCCAGAAUCACCUUCAGAGGAUGGAUAUCUCCGCAGAGCCCAUCCUUUUAAAGCAGACGAUCCUAUAGCAUUUGGGUAUGAUGACCUUGAAGAAAAUGUUGAUAAAGCUGUCUCCAGGUCUGGAUACUUUGGUGACCUCCUUGUACCUUCUGGUGGGAGUAACUAAGAACAGUUUUUGGGAACAGGAACUAAUGCAGACAGCUCAGGGAGAAGAAACGAAACCAGGGAUACAGAGCUAGCUAUCUUUUCCAGCUGCCAAAAACCCCCACAAACCCCUGCUUCCAUCCAUCUUCCUCACCAACGUCAGAGGAGCUCAAUGUAACUGAAUCCUUCACUCAAAAAUCCCUGAUACCUCAGUGCAGUUUCCAGGCUGGUCCCUACACUGCCACAGCGCAACAAAGACUCCAGUAAGAAAAGGGGUGCUGUGCUAUGUGCCUUUGUGCUCCAGGAUUGGUACCAUGACAGUAGAAUUAUAGACAGUCUCUGCUCACUGGACUUAGAGGCCUUGUGCAUUCAGUGCACAACCUGUCUGAUCAGAAAUCGUAACUCUGCCUUCUGGCUGAGGGACAGUUCCCUGUACAGCACUGCCAGAGCCAACCUGAGGAGGAGCAUCAAACAAGCCAAGGAGGCCUACUACAAAAAACGCCACCAUGUGUGGACAGGCAUUAAAGCCCUCACCAACUACACUGACCAGAGCCCCCUCAACCACUGACAGCAGCCUCAAACUCACAACAAUGUGAGCCAUGGUCUGAGAAACCCUCAUCACUUGGGCCAUAUUAUACUCAAACCAAGACCUUUUGCACUGCUUCUAAGCACUUAACAACUUGUUCUUUAAUAUGUGCCUUUCUCUUAUUUUUGUAUGUAUUCCUCUUAUUUGCUAUUUAUUUCCUCUGUCUGCCAUUUAUAUUUAAUUAUGUUAUGUGUUUGAUGCUAUUACAAACAAGAAGUUUAGCUACAUGGUGUACUUGUACAUUAUUCUAAUUGUGCUCUGGAUAACAACAGAGGCAGUGGCGGUUCUAGCCUGUUUGGCGCCCCAGGCGAACACUCCCUCUGGUUUUCUAUUUUUUUCUAAACUGAGCACCUGAUGGCUUUGAACCUUUCUUGUCCAUCUUCCAUUGGUUUUAAUUUUGCACUCCAGUAUGAACACAAAUCCCCCAACUCGAGGAUCACCACAACAUAACCUAAUAGACCUACACCUUAGUUCACAGAUUCACUUUGUCUAAGGUGUAUUUCUGGGAUUUCACACAACCCAGGGUUCAAAUCAUGAAUACAUAAUGGGCUUGGAUUUACAACAUUAUGAAUGAAAUGUGCUCUAUUUGGAAGAAGCAGGCCCCCCUCCCCUUUCGAGGGGUUGUGUGUGAGACUUUAAAUCAUCAAAUUGUAAAUUAUAAAUUUUAAAUUGUUAUUGAUCCCUUUACCCCUGGUCCUAAGGUGUAUAUUUAUUUUCUUACUCUUCUUGUAUUUAUUGUUUGUUUACUUGCACUGCUGUAACUGGAGCGAGCCACGUCGUCUCGUCUCUCUAUAUACUGGACUGUAUGUAGCGGAGAUGACAAUAAAGUUUACUUUGACUUCAGCAGCGAGCAGGCGCACCGAGGGCUCUCGCGCUCACUUUUCGUGUAUAGAAAAACAUC